AUGUUUUUAUUAAAAUGUCUGAAUGACUGGCUUCAUUCAGACAUGACCUCAAUGUGCAUUUUAUUUAGACCAUGCCUCAGUUGUCAUGACAACUGUGUGUGUGUCUGUCUGCCAGGUGGUAUCUGGAUGCAGCACUGUCAGCAUCCAAGCAGAAAUAGAGUGGGUGUAUCGAGCGGGAAGUGUCUCCCCCACCCAUUUCAACAACACGAGAAAAGGUUGAAAACAUCAUUCAACUUGAGUCUUUCAAUUAAAAAUCCCAAUCAGCUAUUCUUGCCAGCAGAGCAGCCAUCCAUCCAUUCAAGGAAGCAUUGGCUGUACCGGACCAGGAGAGCAGCCACGUGGAGGCUGGGAAGGACCCUCACCUGCUUCACAAGCCCCUCCUUCCCUGCAAGGAGCAAGGUGCGGUGACCAAUCGGGCCCCUACUACUACUUCCUGGUUAAAUUGGACGUGAUGGGCUGAAGAUGUUGGGCUGCGUGUGGUCCCAGAUUGUACACGUGCCUGCCUGGGGGCUGCUAGGUUGUAUAUAGAUGUACCUGGAAGGAGGCAGGCAUGGGAACCUGCCAGGGCCCCUGGGAGGCAUCAGGGGUGUUUGUCCCUGAUGUCAUGAGUUGGACGGCCCCUUAGCUCACACCAUGCUGCACACAUAUCUCCUUCUUUUAAUCUGGGAUCAUCCACCAUUCCUGAGGCCCAGGAGAGGAAAGUGUUCUCUGCCCCUCCCUGCAUUCUUAGGUCCAACAUCCUCCUCUCAGGUUCUGCAGGUUCAUGGAGGGUUGUCUCUAAUGAGGAACCAAGUCUUAAGGUCCCAGACAGAGCCAGAUUCUGGGAGACCAGACUUCUGAAGAGCUUCUGGUGGCUGCUCCUGGGCGGGCCUCCACACCAUCAUGCAGGGACUGCAGGGGCACCUGCACCGAGUCCAGAACCUUCCCAGGGCAAGCAGGCUGGCAGCAUCAUCCAGAUUAGAAAUGGCCAGGUCCAUAAAUGCAUCAAGAAACUGGGGAGAGGACAGCAUCAGAGCAGCCACGACGUCCUUUCUAUGUGGGCUUUCUGCAUGGCAUAGCGCCACGUAACAGGAUGUGGCUGAAGAGCAUGCCUGGGUCAGGGGUGUAAAUCAGGCUGUGGCCCUGUGCUUCCAGUUGCACCCUAGUGCAGAGCCUUGGCCAGCUCCAGCCUGCAGAACCUGGCAAUUUAUUUUAAUUUUAUGUAUAUGUGCAUUUAUUUAUUUAUUUUUAAAUUUUAUUUAAGGAAUACCAACUUCAUGAAAUUUCAUAUAUACAGAUUUAGGAACAUAGUGAUUCUUCCCCCUCUACCUCCCUCCCACCUAUACUCCUACCCUUCUUCCUAUUCCCAUUCCCGUUCUUAUUCUUUGCAAAGAUCUAUUUUCAGUUAACUUCAUACUCAUAAGAUUAACCCUACACUAGGUAGAGAGUUCAACAAAUAGUAUAAAGAAAAAAUAAAACAAAACCAAUCAAACA
rnacentral:lncRNA from 1 species